AGCGUACACGGUGGAUGCCCUGGCAGUCAGAGGCGAUGAAGGACGUGCUAAUCUGCGAUAAGCGUCGGUAAGGUGAUAUGAACCGUUAUAACCGGCGAUUUCCGAAUGGGGAAACCCAGUGUGUUUCGACACACUAUCAUUAACUGAAUCCAUAGGUUAAUGAGGCGAACCGGGGGAACUGAAACAUCUAAGUACCCCGAGGAAAAGAAAUCAACCGAGAUUCCCCCAGUAGCGGCGAGCGAACGGGGAGCAGCCCAGAGCCUGAAUCAGUGUGUGUGUUAGUGGAAGCGUCUGGAAAGGCGCGCGAUACAGGGUGACAGCCCCGUACACAAAAAUGCACAUGCUGUGAGCUCGAUGAGUAGGGCGGGACACGUGGUAUCCUGUCUGAAUAUGGGGGGACCAUCCUCCAAGGCUAAAUACUCCUGACUGACCGAUAGUGAACCAGUACCGUGAGGGAAAGGCGAAAAGAACCCCGGCGAGGGGAGUGAAAAAGAACCUGAAACCGUGUACGUACAAGCAGUGGGAGCACGCUUAGGCGUGUGACUGCGUACCUUUUGUAUAAUGGGUCAGCGACUUAUAUUCUGUAGCAAGGUUAACCGAAUAGGGGAGCCGAAGGGAAACCGAGUCUUAACUGGGCGUUAAGUUGCAGGGUAUAGACCCGAAACCCGGUGAUCUAGCCAUGGGCAGGUUGAAGGUUGGGUAACACUAACUGGAGGACCGAACCGACUAAUGUUGAAAAAUUAGCGGAUGACUUGUGGCUGGGGGUGAAAGGCCAAUCAAACCGGGAGAUAGCUGGUUCUCCCCGAAAGCUAUUUAGGUAGCGCCUCGUGAAUUCAUCUCCGGGGGUAGAGCACUGUUUCGGCAAGGGGGUCAUCCCGACUUACCAACCCGAUGCAAACUGCGAAUACCGGAGAAUGUUAUCACGGGAGACACACGGCGGGUGCUAACGUCCGUCGUGAAGAGGGAAACAACCCAGACCGCCAGCUAAGGUCCCAAAGUCAUGGUUAAGUGGGAAACGAUGUGGGAAGGCCCAGACAGCCAGGAUGUUGGCUUAGAAGCAGCCAUCAUUUAAAGAAAGCGUAAUAGCUCACUGGUCGAGUCGGCCUGCGCGGAAGAUGUAACGGGGCUAAACCAUGCACCGAAGCUGCGGCAGCGACGCUUAUGCGUUGUUGGGUAGGGGAGCGUUCUGUAAGCCUGCGAAGGUGUGCUGUGAGGCAUGCUGGAGGUAUCAGAAGUGCGAAUGCUGACAUAAGUAACGAUAAAGCGGGUGAAAAGCCCGCUCGCCGGAAGACCAAGGGUUCCUGUCCAACGUUAAUCGGGGCAGGGUGAGUCGACCCCUAAGGCGAGGCCGAAAGGCGUAGUCGAUGGGAAACAGGUUAAUAUUCCUGUACUUGGUGUUACUGCGAAGGGGGGACGGAGAAGGCUAUGUUGGCCGGGCGACGGUUGUCCCGGUUUAAGCGUGUAGGCUGGUUUUCCAGGCAAAUCCGGAAAAUCAAGGCUGAGGCGUGAUGACGAGGCACUACGGUGCUGAAGCAACAAAUGCCCUGCUUCCAGGAAAAGCCUCUAAGCAUCAGGUAACAUCAAAUCGUACCCCAAACCGACACAGGUGGUCAGGUAGAGAAUACCAAGGCGCUUGAGAGAACUCGGGUGAAGGAACUAGGCAAAAUGGUGCCGUAACUUCGGGAGAAGGCACGCUGAUAUGUAGGUGAAGCGACUUGCUCGUGGAGCUGAAAUCAGUCGAAGAUACCAGCUGGCUGCAACUGUUUAUUAAAAACACAGCACUGUGCAAACACGAAAGUGGACGUAUACGGUGUGACGCCUGCCCGGUGCCGGAAGGUUAAUUGAUGGGGUUAGCGCAAGCGAAGCUCUUGAUCGAAGCCCCGGUAAACGGCGGCCGUAACUAUAACGGUCCUAAGGUAGCGAAAUUCCUUGUCGGGUAAGUUCCGACCUGCACGAAUGGCGUAAUGAUGGCCAGGCUGUCUCCACCCGAGACUCAGUGAAAUUGAACUCGCUGUGAAGAUGCAGUGUACCCGCGGCAAGACGGAAAGACCCCGUGAACCUUUACUAUAGCUUGACACUGAACAUUGAGCCUUGAUGUGUAGGAUAGGUGGGAGGCUUUGAAGUGUGGACGCCAGUCUGCAUGGAGCCGACCUUGAAAUACCACCCUUUAAUGUUUGAUGUUCUAACGUUGACCCGUAAUCCGGGUUGCGGACAGUGUCUGGUGGGUAGUUUGACUGGGGCGGUCUCCUCCUAAAGAGUAACGGAGGAGCACGAAGGUUGGCUAAUCCUGGUCGGACAUCAGGAGGUUAGUGCAAUGGCAUAAGCCAGCUUGACUGCGAGCGUGACGGCGCGAGCAGGUGCGAAAGCAGGUCAUAGUGAUCCGGUGGUUCUGAAUGGAAGGGCCAUCGCUCAACGGAUAAAAGGUACUCCGGGGAUAACAGGCUGAUACCGCCCAAGAGUUCAUAUCGACGGCGGUGUUUGGCACCUCGAUGUCGGCUCAUCACAUCCUGGGGCUGAAGUAGGUCCCAAGGGUAUGGCUGUUCGCCAUUUAAAGUGGUACGCGAGCUGGGUUUAGAACGUCGUGAGACAGUUCGGUCCCUAUCUGCCGUGGGCGCUGGAGAACUGAGGGGGGCUGCUCCUAGUACGAGAGGACCGGAGUGGACGCAUCACUGGUGUUCGGGUUGUCAUGCCAAUGGCACUGCCCGGUAGCUAAAUGCGGAAGAGAUAAGUGCUGAAAGCAUCUAAGCACGAAACUUGCCCCGAGAUGAGUUCU
rnacentral:rRNA from 4 species